CCUACGGGGUGCUGCAGUGGGGGAUAUUGCACAAUGGGGGGAACCCUGAUGCAGCGACGCCGCGUGGGUGAAGGAGCGUUUCGGCGCGUAAAGCCCUAUCGGCAGAGAAGAAGGAGGACGGUACCUGACUAAGAAGCCCCGGCUAACUACGUGCAAGCAGCCGCGGUAAUACGGAGGGGGCAAGCGUUAUCCGGAUAUACUGGGUGUAAAGGGGGCGCAGACGGCAGCGCAAGCCAGGAGUGAAAGCUCUGGGCUGAACCCCGGGACUGCUUUUGGAACUGCGAGGCUGGAGUGCGGGGGGGGCAGGCGGAAUUCCUGGUGGAGCGGUGAAAUGCGUAGAUAUCAGGAGGAACACCGGUGGCGAAGGCGGCCUGCUGGACUGCGACUGACGUUGAGGCCCGAAAGCGUGGGGAGCAAACAGGAUUAGAUACCCGUGUAGUC
rnacentral:rRNA from 1 species